CUCUUUUCAGAAUUGAGUGGCAAACGGGUGAGUAACACGUAAACAACCUGCCUUCAGGAUGGGGACAACAGACGGAAACGACUGCUAAUACCGCAUGACAUAUAGAUGUCGCAUGGCAUUUAUAUCAAAGAUUUAUCGCUGAAAGAUGGCCUCGCGUCUGAUUAGCUAGUUGGUGAGGUAACGGCCCACCAAGGCGACGAUCAGUAGCCGGACUGAGAGGUUGACCGGCCACAUUGGGACUGAGAUACGGCCCAGACUCC
rnacentral:rRNA from 1 species